rnacentral:lncRNA from 1 species
AUGAAGGGCCGCCCCCCUCUGCCUCUAGGGCUGCGAACUCGGUGCCUCUGGCUUCGCGGUGGGGAGCGGAUGGCACGUCUGUGUCUGCUAAGCAGGUGCGAAGCUCUGAGCUUCCCAGGCCAUCUUUCCCCCGGGUUUCUCUGGGUGUCUCGGUGGGGGUGGGGCAGUGGGCGCAGGAAUUGCACUGGGCGAGGUGAGGGCUUCAAAACGGGAACUGUCCCCCGCCGCACCAGGAAGCUGGUCCUCAGGGCCGGGCGCAUCCCCGGGUGCGUUUCCGCAGCUUCCUUCCCGCGUCUCCGCCCUUCUGGGAGGUGCUUCGCGCCCUCGGCCUCGCUUGGUCUGAGUCUUGAGGGGGCCUUGCCCACGGCUGGCACCCGGCUCGGGUGGAGAGCUGCCCCCGGAGGUCUGGCCCAUCCCCCGCUCCCCACUCCUGGGCAGCCCCGCGGGGUCCCCUCGGGGGUCUCUGGCAAGGACAGGCCCGGGGAGGAGGCAGGGCAGGGCGGAGGGCUGUGGCUGCGGAGGGUUCCGGGCUGGAGCCGGCCGCCAGCCCUGGUUCCUGCUCCACUCCCGUCUUGCCCAACACCUCCCCGGAACCUUGUGGUCGCUCAGGCCUGGAGCCGCGGCCCGUCUGGGGAGGGCUCGAGGGUGCGGUCUGGUGCUGGAAGUCAGCGUCCGCGCUCCCCACGCCGCCCCCAUGCUGCGUUGGGGGUCAUUCAGCCUAAACCCAGGGGUCUUGGGCCAGGUGGGCGCCGGCAGGGGUGCUGGACACAGCUCGGGGUGGCGUCCUCUCCCUGGUCAGCCGGGUCCGAGCUGCUAAGGGCCCUGCAUCUAGCAGGUGCUCUGGGCACACCGUCUGGGGAGGGCCGUGGAAGGAAGGGCCCAGCUGCCCAGGAAGCUGGCACAGUGUCACGGAGAGCUGGAGCCUUUGCUGAGCCGAGCCUGUGGCCCGCGCUGGGCUGGGCUGGGCAUGGCAGGGACUUGACGCUGGCCAUCUCUGGGCUCAGGAGCGCCCACCCACCUGCUCUGCAGACUCGCCUCAGAAACUGA